rnacentral:rRNA from 1 species
GACGAACGCUGGCGGCGCGCUUAACACAUGCAAGUCGAGCGAUAACCAUGGCUUCGGCCAUGGGGAGAGCGGCGAACGGGUGAGUAACACGUGAGUAAUCUGCCCUCGACACUGGGAUAGCCCGGGGAAACCCGGAUUAAUACCGGAUAGCCUCUCGAGCUUUCGGGCUCGUGAGAAAAGAUGGCUUCGGCUUUCGGUUGAGGAGGAGCUUGCGGCGGAUUAGCUUGUUGGUGAGGAACGGCCCACCAAGCGACGAUCCGUAGCUGGUCUGAGAGGACGAUCAGCCACACUGGGACUGAGACACGGCCCACGACUCCUACGGGAGGGCAGCAGUGGGGAAGUCUUGCGCAAUGGGCGAAAGCCUGACGCAGCGACGCCGCGUGAGGGAAGAAGGCCU